rnacentral:lncRNA from 1 species
AGGAAGACCCUGGCCUCCAUCUUGAAAACGGAAAAUAAAAACAGCAGACCUAUGAAGGUCGAAGGGGAAGAAAAGCUGUAUCGAUUGUUGAGAUCUGGCGACUUGUUUAAAUUUCAUCAGCCUCACUUCUAUGAACUCUCAGGGUCCUCGUAAGAACUUCCAUUUUAUGUUCUUGUCUUCUCAUCAGUUUGAGUUGUGUCUUUAACAUUGGAGAGAAAAACAACUUGCAAGAUUUUCUUUCAGUAUGAACCAUUCUGAGGUCCUUCAAUUCUUUAGCUGAUUACCAACUCCUACCACUGUUAACCCUCAUCCAGGAACAAGCUUAUGUCUUUAACAUUCUGAGUGGGCUUCAGCAUCCUUGCAUAUGUUCAAUUCUUAAAAACCUGUUGAAAUAAAAGAUCAGGAGACAUAGGAAGGAUGCCAGAAGAGAGCGUGGCCUCACGUGUACCAGCUCUCUGCUCUCCUUUGCCUUGGGACGUUCCAUCCCUGGAAGUUUCCCUGCCCACAUCUUUGUAGAGAGUCCAUUCUCCAAGCUUCAGUGUGUCAUCUGUGAGGACCGUGACCCACCUGGUACAUCGCCUCAGGGCAUUCAUUUCAGGCUCCUUCUAAAUGGCCAAGAGACAACACCAACAUUUUUGUAAUGGCCUGCAAGGCCUUCCGAGAUCUACCUCCUGCAACUCAGCUUCUCCUGUGCUCUCCUUCUGGACUCACUCUGCCUCAGCAACACUGGUCCCUGUUGCCCCACCAAUAUGCCAGCUGCACUGAUGAGGAAACUGAAACAGAAAAUCCAGAGUAAAUUCCACCAGGCCACACAGCAAGGUCUGAUAGAGCCAGGAGAGACUUUAUGAAAUCCAGACUCUCACACUAAUGCUCUAUCAGCUAGACCUCCAUGUGAGUCUCCCCAAUGUAGGUAGGAAGUGCUUUCCC